rnacentral:tRNA from 2 species
GGAGAAAUACCCAAGUCUGGUUGAAGGGGCUGGUCUUGAAAACCAGAAGGUCGGCAACGGCGCAGGGGUUCGAAUCCCUUUUUCUCCGCCA